GUAGUACUUCCUCCAUCCGAAAAUACUUGUAGAAAAAGUGGAUGUAUCUAAACAUAUUUUAGUUUUACAUACAUCCAAUUUUGUUCAUUUCUCCGAGUAUUUUUGAACGGAGAGAGUAUUAA
rnacentral:pre_miRNA from 1 species